GAUGAAGAACGCAGCGAAAUGCGAUAAGUAGUGUGAAUUGCAGAAUUCAGUGAAUCAUCGAAUCUUUGAACGCACAUUGCGCCCCUUGGUAUCCCGAGGGGCAUGCCUGUUCGAGCGUCAUUUCACCACUCAAGCCUGGCUUGGUGUUGGGCGACGUCCCCUUUGGGGACGCGCCUCGAAACGCUCGGCGGCGUGGCACCGGCUUUAAGCGUAGCAGAAUCUUUCGCUUUGGAAGUCGGGGCCCCGUCUGCCGGAAGACCUACUCGCAAGGUUGACCUCGGAUCAGGCAGGGAUACCCGCUGAACUUAAGCAUAUCAAUAAUCGGAGGA
rnacentral:misc_RNA from 1 species